rnacentral:piRNA from 1 species
UAGCCAAAAAGAUGAGGCCUUUGA